UGAAUGGUAACACGAAAUUUUUACUUUAUUAUAUUUAUAACUAAAACUUACACUCCAUGUGAAGAUGCAUGGAUAAUUUUGAAAGACAAGAAGACCCUAUAGAGUUUAAAUUGCUAAAUGCAAACAAUGAAAACACAAUUUUUGUUGGGGCGACAAAGGAUAAACUAAAUCAUCCUAAUAUAACUUCGAAUUUAAUUCUUAAUAAAUUGAUCCACCCUAUGAUAAAUAAAACAAACUACCUUAGGGAUAACAGGCUAAUCUUCUUAAAGAGUUCAAAUCGACAAGAAGGUUUGGCACCUCGAUGUUGGCUUAGAGACUCCUUUUGCUGCAAAAGGCACCACGGGUAGUUUGUUCAACUAUUAAUACUCU
rnacentral:rRNA from 1 species